rnacentral:rRNA from 1 species
GGUUAAGCGACUAAGCGUACACGGUGGAUGCCCUGGCAGUCAGAGGCGAUGAAGGGCGUGCUAAUCUGCGAUAAGCGCCGGUAAGGUGAUAUGAACCGUUAUAACCGGCGAUACCCGAAUGGGGAAACCCAGUGUGAUUCGUCACACUAUCAUUAACUGAAUCCAUAGGUUAAUGAGGCGAACCGGGGGAACUGAAACAUCUAAGUACCCCGAGGAAAAGAAAUCAACCGAGAUUCCCCCAGUAGCGGCGAGCGAACGGGGAGGAGCCCAGAGCCUGAAUCAGCAUGUGUGUUAGUGGAAGCGUCUGGAAAGGCGCGCGAUACAGGGUGACAGCCCCGUACACAAAAGCGCAUGUGCUGUGAGCUCGAUGAGUAGGGCGGGACACGUGGUAUCCUGUCUGAAUAUGGGGGGACCAUCCUCCAAGGCUAAAUACUCCUGACUGACCGAUAGUGAACCAGUACCGUGAGGGAAAGGCGAAAAGAACCCCGGCGAGGGGAGUGAAAAAGAACCUGAAACCGUGUACGUACAAGCAGUGGGAGCACAGGUUUACCUGUGUGACUGCGUACCUUUUGUAUAAUGGGUCAGCGACUUAUAUUCUGUAGCAAGGUUAACCGAAUAGGGGAGCCGGAGGGAAACCGAGUCUUAAUUGGGCGUUAAGUUGCAGGGUAUAGACCCGAAACCCGGUGAUCUAGCCAUGGGCAGGUUGAAGGUUGGGUAACACUAACUGGAGGACCGAACCGACUAAUGUUGAAAAAUUAGCGGAUGACCUGUGGCUGGGGGUGAAAGGCCAAUCAAACCGGGAGAUAGCUGGUUCUCCCCGAAAGCUAUUUAGGUAGCGCCUCGUGAAUUCAUCUCCGGGGGUAGAGCACUGUUUCGGCUAGGGGGCCAUCCCGGCUUACCAACCCGAUGCAAACUGCGAAUACCGGAGAAUGUUAUCACGGGAGACACACGGCGGGUGCUAACGUCCGUCGUGAAGAGGGAAACAACCCAGACCGCCAGCUAAGGUCCCAAAGUCAUGGUUAAGUGGGAAACGAUGUGGGAAGGCCCAGACAGCCAGGAUGUUGGCUUAGAAGCAGCCAUCAUUUAAAGAAAGCGUAAUAGCUCACUGGUCGAGUCGGCCUGCGCGGAAGAUGUAACGGGGCUAAACCAUGCACCGAAGCUGCGGCAGCGACGCUUAUGCGUUGUUGGGUAGGGGAGCGUUCUGUAAGCCUGUGAAGGUGGCCUGUGAGGGUUGCUGGAGGUAUCAGAAGUGCGAAUGCUGACAUAAGUAACGAUAAAGCGGGUGAAAAGCCCGCUCGCCGGAAGACCAAGGGUUCCUGUCCAACGUUAAUCGGGGCAGGGUGAGUCGACCCCUAAGGCGAGGCCGAAAGGCGUAGUCGAUGGGAAACGGGUUAAUAUUCCCGUACUUGGUGUUACUGCGAAGGGGGGACGGAGAAGGCUAUGUUGGCCGGGCGACGGUUGUCCCGGUUUAAGCGUGUAGGUGUGUGUUCCAGGUAAAUCCGGUUCACUUUAACACUGAGGCGUGAUGACGAGGCACUACGGUGCUGAAGUAACAAAUGCCCUGCUUCCAGGAAAAGCCUCUAAGCAUCAGGUAACAUCAAAUCGUACCCCAAACCGACACAGGUGGUCAGGUAGAGAAUACCAAGGCGCUUGAGAGAACUCGGGUGAAGGAACUAGGCAAAAUGGUGCCGUAACUUCGGGAGAAGGCACGCUGACACGUAGGUGAAGUGAUUUACUCAUGGAGCUGAAGUCAGUCGAAGAUACCAGCUGGCUGCAACUGUUUAUUAAAAACACAGCACUGUGCAAACACGAAAGUGGACGUAUACGGUGUGACGCCUGCCCGGUGCCGGAAGGUUAAUUGAUGGGGUCAGCGCAAGCGAAGCUCCUGAUCGAAGCCCCGGUAAACGGCGGCCGUAACUAUAACGGUCCUAAGGUAGCGAAAUUCCUUGUCGGGUAAGUUCCGACCUGCACGAAUGGCGUAAUGAUGGCCAGGCUGUCUCCACCCGAGACUCAGUGAAAUUGAACUCGCUGUGAAGAUGCAGUGUACCCGCGGCAAGACGGAAAGACCCCGUGAACCUUUACUAUAGCUUGACACUGAACAUUGAGCCUUGAUGUGUAGGAUAGGUGGGAGGCUUUGAAGUGUGGACGCCAGUCUGCAUGGAGCCGACCUUGAAAUACCACCCUUUAAUGUUUGAUGUUCUAACGUGGACCCGUUACCCGGGUUGCGGACAGUGUCUGGUGGGUAGUUUGACUGGGGCGGUCUCCUCCUAAAGAGUAACGGAGGAGCACGAAGGUUGGCUAAUCCUGGUCGGACAUCAGGAGGUUAGUGCAAUGGCAUAAGCCAGCUUGACUGCGAGCGUGACGGCGCGAGCAGGUGCGAAAGCAGGUCAUAGUGAUCCGGUGGUUCUGAAUGGAAGGGCCAUCGCUCAACGGAUAAAAGGUACUCCGGGGAUAACAGGCUGAUACCGCCCAAGAGUUCAUAUCGACGGCGGUGUUUGGCACCUCGAUGUCGGCUCAUCACAUCCUGGGGCUGAAGUAGGUCCCAAGGGUAUGGCUGUUCGCCAUUUAAAGUGGUACGCGAGCUGGGUUUAGAACGUCGUGAGACAGUUCGGUCCCUAUCUGCCGUGGGCGCUGGAGAACUGAGGGGGGCUGCUCCUAGUACGAGAGGACCGGAGUGGACGCAUCACUGGUGUUCGGGUUGUCAUGCCAAUGGCACUGCCCGGUAGCUAAAUGCGGAAGAGAUAAGUGCUGAAAGCAUCUAAGCACGAAACUUGCCCCGAGAUGAGUUCUCCCUGAGACUUAGAGUCUCCUGAAGGAACGUUGAAGACGACGACGUUGAUAGGCCGGGUGUGUAAGCGCAGCGAUGCGUUGAGCUAACCGGUACUAAUGAACCGUGAGGCUUAACCUU